CAAACAGGAGAAAGGGGUAUUAACAUGUUCUACCCAGACUUGAGACAUUCCAUCUUGUCUUUGCACAAAAUAACUCUUGAAUAAUUUUCAAAAAAAUAACUCUAAAUAAGCUCAAGUGUUCUGGAAAUAAAAUUUCUGCCAUGACAACAGCAGAUAGUAGCUCGACUGAAACUUCAAUACAGAUGAAUCCAUAUAACUUAAUCAGCCUAAUUACUACAAAACAUUUACUAGUUAUCUUUUACAAUCAUACUGCUGCCUAAAGAGCUCAUCAUCGUUGAAAGAGCUGGACUGGACUGGACGGACUUCCCAGACCAUAGUUUAUGCAACUUGAGAAAAAACUGGUGCCAAGGCAACACUUCAGUUUGAUUUGGUCAACCCAGGUUCUCUGCAAAAUUGCAAAAUAAGAUAUUAGAUGAAUAACACUGACGCACCAGAAACCGGAAAUGCCUGCAAUAAUUCCAAACCUUCUAAUGUGCUCAAGUAUGACAAGUCUUGGACCAGGGGGGAUAUUCACAUCCCUGAGUGCGCUGGAGGAUAGUGCAAGACAAACGUGAUUUUUCAUCAACCGAAUGGUAUAUUUCAGUAAGCAUAUAUAACUAAUUUUUAAAGAUUGCUUCUUUUCCGUAGUUGCAGGACUCAAUUGAGUAUUAAAGAUAUGUACCUUUCAUUGAGAAGAGGCAAUGUUUCAUCAGUCAGAAGACCCUUCUUGAAAUUCUUCUCAUAGUUUUGGAGGCCUAAUUGGUUCAACAUAUUUCUUGCACGAGAAUAGUUCAUAUCUUCAUUAUGUGUCUUUGUCUUCGAGAAUUUCUGUCCAACCUACAACAGUGAAGUUGCAAUGCAACGUGAAGGCUCACCAACACAUUCAGUACUAAAACCUAGAG
rnacentral:lncRNA from 1 species